AGAAUCAACGCUGGCGGCGUGCCUAACACAUGCAAGUCGAACGCGACUUGGGACUUCGGUUCCAAGUUGAGUGGCGAACGGGUGAGUAACACGUGGGUGAUCUACCUUCGAGUGGGGGAUAACGUCCCGAAAGGGACGCUAAUACCGCAUGACGUUCUGGGUUUGAAGACCUGGAAACCAAAGCCGGGGACCGCAAGGCCGUGGCGCUUAAAGAGGAGCCCGCGUCCGAUUAGCUAGUUGGCGGGUAAUGGCCCACCGAAGGCGACGAUCGGUA
rnacentral:rRNA from 1 species